CCCUCACUUAAGAGUUGGAUAACAUUCACCGAUUACGUUCAUCCUGAAGCAGCUUGUGGCGCUAGAUUUUAACAAGAUAAACAAAAAAUGAUGUGGCCUGACACUUGAUAAACCACAGAUGUUCCAUUCACUUUACAAUGAUGUACUACUUUGUGAUGGUCUGUCAAAUGGACUCCGAAUAAAGCACAAGGACGUUAGUGGUUGGAACGUGACAAAUGCGGAAAAGUUUGAGCAGCACGACAACUUUUCCAAAGGCACAGCAAUGGUGCCGAGCCAUGGUGCGAGUACGGGAAGAACAGGUUGUUUAGAAAAACCUUUUCCAUUCUUUCUUCCUGUGCGAGGCGCAGCCAAAACAUUGCACGCUGCUUCUUUGACAGGUUACAGAUGAUGAGCUGGAGAGGAGCUGCGCCCGCUAGCCUUACUGUAAUGAGUGCUAGCCGCUAAUUAGCUUGUUGCUGGAUGCCAGAUAUGGUUGGAACCAAAGCCCUGUCACUGGAGCAGAGCAACGAGAAGCAGGAAGAGCUACUCUAAUGAGCCCUCAGCGGUGUGUUUACUGUUAACCAGUCAUGGCUUUACUCUCGACGUGUCAUCUCUCUCUCUCCUCGCAGCGCUCACGCAGACAUACACAAGAUACUGACGGUUAUUUGGCAAAAUGUCGACGGGCUAUUUUAUAACUCAUGCGCAAACACAUAUGGGAUAUUAAGACAUAAAGAAAGCAACAGACACCCACAAGCCCUCGUCCUCCUCUCCAUCCCUCUGAGACUCUGUUUUGGUCCGCUCAACUUUGGACCGAUCCUGAGGCUGUGCGGAGACUUGGCCCGGGUGAAAUCUCCUUUCAGAGAUUCCCUCCAUCCCAGCAGCAUAUGGGCACACGCUUACUCUCCGCCUCUCCUGUCAUUCCUCAUCCUACUUCAUUCUCAGUCAAACCACCGUCAGUCUUCCUACUUCCACCCCGUGACUCCUGAGCAAGCCAUUGAACAUGAUUGCAAUUACAAUCAAGCGUGCAGGCCUCCUCUGCCACAUCCUGUUCAACAGCAACGCACUGUUGUCUCCGUUACUUCCCUUGCUGUCUGUGUGACGUUGUUUCCCAUCAGGUUUGUUUCUUUUUGCAAGGGAGAUUUGCUCGAAGUAGCUGAAACGCAUUUUAUUUACAUAAAAUAACUAAACUAAUUGAAAACAAUCUGUUGAAACACCUACACAGGUUUUCUAGGCUUUAUGGUUUUCACACACAAAAAACUAUAAAGGGUGGAUGAAGUUAUUCAGAUUCAAGAUUUGAUUUUGUUGAGUCAUUCAGGAAUCAAUGAAAUCAUUGCAGGUAAUUGAUCAUUUCAUCCUCACAAUUACCUUGAUUUCCUUGUUUAUCCAGAAUGACUUUGUCUUUGAAUUCGCUGUAAUGAUAAGCAUGCACAUAAGAUGAAUAGGACGUUGAGCAGACAAUUAUGAUGACAAUAUAACUUCACAAUCAGCAGCAGGCAAAAUGGUCAAUAGUACAAACGUUGACUUCAUUAAAAAUAAAAGCUGGAUGUAUUUCUGUCAUGAAGUCCAGAGCUUCAGCUUUAUAGAAAUUAACAAAUCUGCCACAUGCAGUUUUUUUCUUCAUAUUAUCACAGCAACAUCAUUGCUAGAACAAUGAUGUUGAAGAAAUUAUUUUGUUACUAAAUCAAACUAAUCUCUCUCUUGAGACUAUAAUUGGAGAUUACUGGUAUUUUAUUGUGUGUUAUACAUUCUGUUUUGCAGUCCUUACCAAGUUUUAAAUGUUUGUGUUUGUAUGUAUGUCUCAAGUUUGGGCCUCUUUUAGACACAAUAGGUUUUCUUUAUUUGAAAGUGGAUGACAUGUUUAUGAAUAAAGUCUGCUCAGACUUAACAUUCCCUCAUGUAUAAAUGCUGAACCUUAUUAAAAUCAGAUCUAAUCCUCAGUGGGAUCUAUUUCAACCCUCGAGAUAAUCUGCAAAACCACCAAAAGUCAUGUUUGGGAAUAACCGUAAAGCUAUCUGUAAGAUAUUUAAUAAAAAUCAACUGAUCAAAAGCAUACAAGCAUACAAUCCAAAAACAUUGAGACAGAACGGCUUCAUGAUCUUUACAGAAACCUUUAUUGUGCUAUGAUUUUUUUAAAGAAAACCUGACUGAUAUGGUGGGAGAAUCAAAUGAGAAGCUACAUUCUGUCACCUGUUCAUAUGUCCGUACAUCCAAGAACUUUUUCCUAAGCAAAGUUGAGAGAAAUGUGUAUAACCAUUUAAAACUCCACGAUCACAUCCUUUCAAGAGGAAAAGCAGCUUUUACUGAAUCCCAGACUAUUUUUUUUUUUUUAUCAGCUGAAAAAAAUGCUGUGGGGUUAAGACAGUAGGAGAAACCAGAAGAAGAAAGAAGGGAUGCUCAGGAUGCCUGGGUGGGCCGCUCUAGUAUUAAUUAAAUUGGAACAGGUUCUGUCGUCUCUGGACAGCGGCUAGCACUCAUGUCUCUGCAAGCUGCUGCUGCUGGCCGUGGUUGGGGUACACAAGCAGCUGCUGCCUGCGUGGUGCUGGGUGGCCGGGGCUGCGCGGUUCUGAUGCCGCUCGCAUCAUGCAACGUGGCACUCAGUGUCAAGAUGAGGAAGGCUGCCACGAAACAAAAGGGAACGAAAGUCAUUUGAUGUGGGCUUAAAAUUUUUGAGUAACGUAACAAAGCGAAAGUAAAUUGACAGCAGACUAUAAUGUCUCUAUUCCUGAAGUCACACAUGAAUCUGAUGUCAUUUGUUUCCUAAACGCAGCCAGAUGGCGGGUAUUCAAGCUGUGUUUUUUUUUUCUUAACUCUAUGAUGCUCUUUGGAAGCUUGUUGUUGUUGUAUUGGAGUGUAAGUAUGCAAGUCUCUUUUAUAUUAAAAGCUUCUGUUA